rnacentral:tRNA from 1 species
GGGGCUAUAACUCAGUGAUAGAAUCUGUGCUUGGCAUGCACGAGGUCCUGGGUUCAAUUUCCAGUGCCUCUG